rnacentral:rRNA from 1 species
AAUGUUAUUAAAUUAAAAAUAAUGGAUUUGAAAAAAUUAAUUGAAGGGGAGGUCAAUUAAUUAAAGUAGAAAACAUUAAUGUUGUUCCUUUUGUGUCAGGAUUAAUUUAAAUGGGGGAUUUAAAAUUAAUUUCUCGAAAGGAAAAGAUUUAAUAAAAUUUAUUGUUUGUGUGGAAAAAUUUAAGUGAAGUUUUUGUUUGGUUUAAAAUAAAUGUCGAUUUUUUUUAUCUAGUUGCUUACUAUUUUAAUUUAAUUAAUUUAACUUUUGCAUUUUUGUAUAAAGUAUAAAACUUAUGUGGGGAUAAGCUUUUAUAUAUAAAGAAAGAUAAAAAAUUGUUAAUAUUAUAUAUAAUUAGAAAUUUUUGGUUUUAGUUUUUAAAAAUUAAAUAUUUGUAAGUUAAUUUAUUGUUGCUUCUUUUUAUUUGUAAGUUAUAAAAAUCAAUUGGGGUAUUUUAAUAAUAAUGAUUAAAUUAGUAGAUAAAAAAAGUAUAAAUUAAGAAUUCGGCAAAUGGAGUUUCCGCCUGUUUAUCAAAAACAUGUUUGGGAGAACAAAAUUUUUGGUUGAACCUGCUCAAUGCUUAAGUAAAUAGCUGCAGUAUUUUGACUGUACAAAGGUAGCAUAAUCAUUAGUCUUUUAAUUGAAGGCUUGUAUGAAAGGUUUGACGAGAAACUUUCUUUUUUAUUUAUAUUUUAUUGAAUUUUAUUUUUAAUGUUAAAAAUCUUAAAUGUGUAAAAGGGACGAGAAGACCCUAUAGAAUUUAAUAGUAUUAAUUUUGAAUUAAAGAUUAUUUUGUUGGGGUGACAGAAAAAAAACAUUUUUUUAAAAAAAUCAUUUUAAAUGAACAGAAAGAUCUAAAAAUUUUGACAAUAAGAUAAAAUUACCUUAGGGAUAACAGCAUAAUUUUUUUAUGAAGACCAAAUUUAUAAAAAUGUUUAUGACCUCGAUGUUGAAUUAAAAUAAUUUAGGUGCAGCUGCUUAUAAAGUAUUAGUCUGUUCGACUAUGAUUUUUUACAUGAUUUGAGUUCAAACCGGUGUGAGCCAGGUUGGUUUCUAUCUUUUUAAAGUGUAAUUGUUUUAGUACGAAAGGAUUGAACAAUUAAAUUUUUAUUGUCAAAAUAGAAUUAAUUAAUU